GACGAACGCUGGGGGCGUGCUUAACACAUGCAAGUCGAACGGUGAAGUAGAGCUUGCUCUAUGGAUCAGUGGCGAACGGGUGAGUAACACGUGGGCAACCUGCCCCAGACUCUGGGAUAACUCCUCGAAAGAGGGGCUAAUACCGGAUAUUUGCAUUGCAAGACAUCUUGUGAUGCAGAAAGAAUUUCGGUCUGGGAUGGUCCCGCGGCCUAUCAGCUUGUUGGUGAGGUAACGGCUCACCAAGGCGACGACGGGUAGCCGGCCUGAGAGGGCGUCCGGCCACACUGGUACUGAGACACAGCCCAGACUCCUACGGGAGGCAGCAGGGGGGAAUAUUGGGCAAUGGGCGCAAGCCUGACCCAGCAACGCCGCGUGAGGGAUGAAGGUACUCGGAUUGUAAACCUCUUUCAGCAGGGACGAAGCGAAAGUGACGGUACCUGCAGAAGAAGCACCGGCGAACUACGUGCCAGCAGCCGCCGUAA
rnacentral:rRNA from 1 species